rnacentral:misc_RNA from 1 species
UUUCCGUAGGUGAACCUGCGGAAGGAUCAUUAAUGAGUUGUCAUGGGGUUCGAUGCUGGCAGCCAAUUUUUGGAUGCAUGUGCUUGCCCUAACAAUCAUCUUCCAAACACCUGUGCACAUUUUUGAGGGAGUCUUGAGUUGGUUGCCGCUCUUGGGUGAUUUUCUCACAUUCCCUUAAAUCAUUAUACGCUAUUAACAAUGUUGAACGUGCUCUGUGCCGCAAGGCUAGUAAUAUAAUACAACUUUUAAAAAAGGAUCUCUUGGCUCUCGUAUCGAUGA